rnacentral:tmRNA from 1 species
GGGGACGAAUCUGGUUUCGACGGGAUCUGAGAUGUUAGUGGAUGCAUGCCGAGGUUCUCGGAAUCCUCGUAAAAUAGCCGGGACCUAAAAUUAAAUGCAGAUGAUUACAACUAUGCAUUGGCUGCGUAAAUAACGCAACCACGUUCACUAUCUUUCGUGUCUGCUAGGGUGAUAGAUGAACGUCGAUUAUAGCGGACUAGCUGUGUUCCUCGCCUGAGGGAAGGCAGCGAAACCUUUUUCAGGCUGGACUCUUUCCGCGUCGUUCCUUUCGCUACGAUAGAGUCGAGAUCAUAAAAGGAACUAUGCAUGUAGAUUCCGCUAUGGUCCGUUUCUCGGACGUGGGUUCGACUCCCACCGUCUCCACUC